GUAAAUGGGAAUCCAUUCCACCUGGAACCUGCCACAGCCUGAUUCACUGCACCCCCACCACCACUACCACCCCCACCCAGCGAUAGAAGAUUAGGUGGCCAAUCACACUCCAGGAUGACAAGGCUCCAUGAAGAUUUCCAUAGUUACCAAGCUCUCCGUGCAGCAUCAGCUCUGACCACCAGCAGCUAGUCCUAAUACCAUGCCGCCAUUUCCUCUCCUCUGAACCUCUUCACAUUUCCUGCUCCCACACAGUGUUGGAACAAUGGCUUGGCACUGGCUGAGCUGAUACAAAAAUCAUCUUAUAACCCCAGAGAGCACAACAAAGGAGAAAAUGCCUUGGUAGUAAGUAUCAAUCUUUUAUGUUAAAUUUUCCAAAGAUAAUCUACAGAUGGAUAAUGAAGUAUAGGCAGUAUCAAAAAACUCCUGGUUUUCUGUUUAAUAAAUAGACUGUAACAAGUUAUUCUUUAUUGUAUCAAAACAAG